GGCUGGUCUGAGUGCAGUGGUGUUUACAACUAAUUGAUCACAACCAAUUACAGAUUUCUUUGUUCCUUCUCCACUCCCACUGCUUUUGACUAGCCUUAA
ensembl:misc_RNA Y_RNA Y RNA